rnacentral:lncRNA from 1 species
AUGCUCCCGCGCCCGACUCAGCCUUCUUUCCGGCCCUGGUUACCCGGCCCCGCCUACAGCACAGAUCCGCCCCCCUCCCCGCCCCAUCGCACCUCCACCCCGGGCGCAGUUAGCCAGCCCCGUCCCGAAGCGCCUCCGUUAGUCGCCACUGGGCUUCCUCCUAGGCUGCCUGACCCGUUGGAAGCCCCCCGGUGGGUUGGGCGCGCCGGGAGUCUGGGAGUCAAAUGCCCCGGGUCGAGCGGAAGGGGCAGUCGCGGGGCGGUCGGCCCUCUGCAGGCAAGGUCUAGGCGUCAGCCGCGCCCAGGGCAGAGCCAGGGGAACGACAGAGGCGGGGGACAGCCCUGGCGCCCUGCCACAGCGAGCGCGUGUCCCCGCCUCCCCACGCCAGGCGCCGGGUGCAUCCCUGCCAAUUCCAACUGCGCCGAGUGGGAAAACUGAACUGAGGCACUUUGUGAGUUCAAAUGUGGCUGAGUUAUGAAGGAAUUCUGCAGUGAAAUUUAAUACAACAAAUGAGAUGUUUCAAAUUUGGGUCUAUGUCUUUUUUUGUUUGUUUGUUUGUUUGCUUAUUUUUUGUUUUGUUUUGUUUUGUUUUGUUUUUUUGAGACAGGGUUUCUUUGUAUUGCUUUGGAGCCUGUCCUGGAACUCGCUCUGUAGGUCAGGUUGGCUUCAAACUCAUAGAGAUCCACCUGCCUUUGCCUCCCGAGUGCUGGGAUUAAAGGCGUGCAACACCAAUGCCCUACUCAGUUUUCAUUUAAUCUUGCAAGGGAUUGUACCUUCCACCUGUGUGUGUGUGUGUGUGUGUGUGUGUGUGUGUGUGUGUGUGUGUGUGUGUUUCUGCACAUGAACACACUUGCACACACAUAUGGAGGUCCAAUAUUGAUAACAGAAUUCUUCUUCAGUCUAUCUCUCCUUUAUAUAUUGAUGUAGGGUCUCUCUCUCGAACCCAGAGCUUUCUGAUUAUUAGUCUACCUACCUAGCCAGUUUGCUUCAGGGAUCCCCUCUCUCUGUCUUCUACAUCCAGGGAUGAGAGAUGGGCUGCCACAUUGCUACAUUUACAUGAGUACUGAGGAUCUGAACUCUGAUCUUUUGCAAUUGAUGGCAAGCUCUUUCUCUGCUAAGUUCUCUCCGCAACCCCCAUUUAUGACUUGGAAGGUUCGGUAAGUAGGCUGAGGCAUGAACUAAUUACUAAUAAAGUAACCAGAUAUGCUUGUGAUGGCUCA